rnacentral:rRNA from 1 species
GACGAAGGAUGCAAGCGUUAUCCGGAUUCAUUGGGUUUAAAGGGAGCGUAGGCGGACAGUUUAGUCAGAGGUGAAAGCCCAGGGCUCAACCCUGGAAUUGCCUUUGAUACUGAUUGUCUUGAGUAUGGGAGAGGUGUGUGGAACUCCGAGUGUAGAGGUGAAAUUCGUAGAUAUUCGGAAGAACACCAGUGGCGAAGGCGACACACUGGCCCAUUACUGACGCUGAGGCUCGAAAGCGUGGGGGAGCAAACAGG